AUUGAACGCUGGCGGCAUGCCUUACACAUGCAAGUCGAACGGCAGCACGGGAGCUUGCUCCUGGUGGCGAGUGGCGAACGGGUGAGUAAUGCAUCGGAACGUGCCCUGAAGUGGGGGGAUAACGUAGCGAAAGUUACGCUAAUACCGCAUAUUCUGUGAGCAGGAAAGCAGGGGAUCUUCGGACCUUGCGCUUUUGGAGCGGUCGAUGUCGGAUUAGCUAGUGGUGGGUAAGGCCACCAAGGCGACGAUCCGUAGCGGGUCUGAGAGGAUGAUCCGCCACACUGGAACUGAGACACGGUCCAGACUCCUACGGGAGGCAGCAGUGGGGAAUUUUGGACAAUGGGCGCAAG
rnacentral:rRNA from 1 species